UGCCUACGGGAGGCAGCAGUGGGGAAUAUUGCACAAUGGGGGGAACCCUGAUGCAGCGACGCCGCGUGGGCGAUGGAGUAUUUCGGUAUGUAAAGCUCUAUCAGCAGGGAAGAAAGAAAUGACGGUACCUGACUAAGAAGCCCCGGCUAACUACGUGCCAGCAGCCGCGGUAAUACGUAGGGGGCAAGCGUUAUCCGGAUUUACUGGGUGUAAAGGGAGCGUAGACGGCGAUGCAAGUCUGAAGUGAAAGGCGGGGGCCCAACCCCUGGACUGCUUUGGAAACUGUAUGGCUGGAGUGCAGGAGG
rnacentral:rRNA from 1 species